UACAGAGGUCUCAAGCGUUGUUCGGAUUCAUUGGGCGUAAAGGGUGCGUAGGUGGCGCGGUAAGUCGGGUGUGAAAUUUCGGAGCUUAACUCCGAAACUGCAUUCGAUACUGCCGUGCUUGAGGACUGGAGAGGAGACUGGAAUUUACGGUGUAGCAGUGAAAUGCGUAGAGAUCGUAAGGAAGACCAGUGGCGAAGGCGGGUCUCUGGACAGUUCCUGACACUGAGGCACGGAAGGCCCAGGGGAGCAAAACGGG
rnacentral:rRNA from 1 species